rnacentral:rRNA from 1 species
UACAGAGGGGGGCAAGCGUUGUUCGGAAUUACUGGGCGUAAAGGGCGCGUAGGCGGCCCGCUAAGUCGAACGUGAAAUCCCCGAGCUCAACUCGGGAACUGCGUCCGAUACUGGCGGGCUUGAAUCCGGGAGAGGGAUGCGGAAUUCCAGGUGUAGCGGUGAAAUGCGCAGAUAUCAGGAGGAACACCGAUGGCGAAGGCAGGUCUCUGGGCCGAUACUGACGCUGAGGAGCGAAAGCGUGGGGAGCGAACAGG